UAAUGGAUAAAUAAUGAAGGGAAUCCAUUCACAUUCGGAUUCUUCUCAUUCAUUUUAUUUACAAAUCCAAAUCUGGAUUACAUUUACCUUCCAGUUAUGGCAAGUGAUAUUGGUUUUCAUCCAAGGAAGUGAGAACAAUUUUUAACAGUUGAGUACUGUGACUGCUCUCAGAAGUUACUGAGAUGUUAACAGCUGCAAUUUAGCCGUGGCAACAGUGUCAUCAAAUGAAAAGGUGAUGAGAAAGAAGAAACAUGUUUUUAGUUAAAUUGUGUCCAAGUACCACA